GAUCCUGGCUCAGGACGAACGCUGGCGGCGCGCCUAACACAUGCAAGUUGAACGGAGCCGAGAGGAGCUUGCUUUUCUUAGCUUAGUGGCGAACGGGUGAGUAACGCGUGAGUAACCUGCCCUGGAGUGGGGGACAACAGUUGGAAACGACUGCUAAUACCGCAUAAGCCCUACGGCCCGGCAUCGGGCUGAGAGAAAAGGAUUUAUUCGCUUCAGGAUGGACUCGCGUCCAAUUAGCUAGUUGGUG
rnacentral:rRNA from 1 species